UACGAAGGUGGAAUCUUAAGUCAGUUGUUAAAUAUUACGGCUUAACCGUGAUUUGCAAUUGAAACUGGGAUUCUUGAGUUUGAGAGGGGAUAGUGGAAUAUCUAGUGUAGCGGUGGAAUGCGUAGAUAUUAGAUAGAACACCUGAGGCGAAGGCGACUGUCUGGCUCAUAACUGACACUCAAGUACGAAAGCAUGGGUAGCGAACAGGAUUAGAUACCCUGGUAGUCC
rnacentral:rRNA from 1 species